AAUAUGUACUCUGUGGAGUUGUACAUAAGAAGUUACUCUUAAUUUUAGAGUACAUUAGCGUAAAUGCAGUCUUACCAAAGCCCCAACAAACUCCAGAAAUUAGAACACUUUUAUCAGUCUCAUGUCUGAUCUCAUAUUUGGGGCUCCCCUACAGCCAGUGGGGCAGAGACAGAGCAUCCACACAAGGUAAAAAAAAAUGCCUUAAGUAUAUAUAUAUAACCUGUAUGUACAGUUUCUCUAUGUAGGAAGGCACUUCAUAGUCAUCAUUAUUUUAUGAGCACAGGGAAAGGAACAGCACGCUACAGAAAGAGAACCUUGGACAAAGCUCGGGUGGGCAGUUAUUUUCAAGGAGAUUUGAAUUGAAAUUAUGAAUAAGUACCAAAACACUGCUCUUACUUCUGGGGGCUUUUGGAGGAUGCGGAGGCUGGAAGAUCACCUGCGUGGAUGGGUGGUGACAGACAGUUGGGGGAAGAUGACUGAAUCUCACUACACAUCACCCUUCGGUGUGACCACUCAAAUCGAGUAGUUAGUAAAUUCUCUCACUUGAAAACAUUUCCAGUAAAAGUUUCUUCACGUGAAGACCAUGUGAUCAGGAUCAUAACCAUGUUCUCUGAGACCCAGAGUUGUUCCAAUGCAGAACUAAUGUAUAAAGAACAAAUGCAUUAAAUAUAUAUAUAUAUAUAUAUAUAUAUAUAUAUUCUACAGACUCGGAAUAUUACAGAUGUGUACCAGUGCUGCUCUGAACAAACACCCAGUGUUUCCAC